AUUAGAUCGCCAUGGUGACCCAAAAUGUCCCUCAUACAUGUGUUCCCUUGCUUUGUGAAAUAUUCCCUUUUGGGCUUAUCUAUGGUGUGAGGCAGGGGGAAAUCAUUGUAAAUAACGCUUAUUAGAUGUAUCAGGUCUUUUUAAUGUUUAUUUUUGAGAGAAAGAGAGAGGCAGAGAGAGGGGGACAGAGGAUCUGAAGUGGGCUCUGUGCUGACAGCAGAGAGCCCAAUGUGGGGCUCAAACUCACAAACCAUGAGAUCAUGACCUAAGCCGAAGUCAGAUACUUAACUGACUGAGCUAUCCAGGUGCCCCUAGAUAUAUCAAUUUUUACUCAAAGUAAUCAGUCAGUAAUCAAGACUUACAAAUCAGGAGCCAAAUACAACUCAAAUCUGAUUUUGAAACCACUAAAAACCACUAAAAAUUUGAAAUCACUGAAAAAAAAAGAUAAAAUCACAGAAUCAAGAACUUUGAAGAUGUUAAUUUGUGGGUCCCCCCUUUCCCCUUCUGAGACAACAGUUCAUCACUGUUUGUGAUUAUGUGCUUGUCAAUUCCUCUAAUUCUUUUCAUCUUCUCCUUUGAUAUCUUUGCUGCUCAGUCACUGUCACCCUUGUCUGCCUCCUCUUUUCCUGCAUCAGCACCACCUGUUGCUUUCUAGCAUGUUCCAGACUGCCCCAUUAGAACAGGGGGUUCUGGCUGAGCUCCUGUUAGGCUUGAACCUUGUGACCAAAUUUAUAUUUGUAACUAGAUAAUACUCGGUGUUGUGGUAUGAAAUCAGGGAGUGUUGUACUUGUGUUCCCUGGACACACAAGGGGUGUGCAUACAGAUACUCUGGAGAGCUCUUGAUACUUAAGGCAGCAGUCUGCCCAGGUAUGUCCAAGGGGAAAGACUGGGAACCAUCCACUUCAAUUUGUAAAUCAUGAUAAUAUCAUUGUGGGGAUUAUUUCAUGCCACAGUGAUGGCAAGUUAACUUCCCAGAGAUUUUC